GCCAGUGUGGCAAAGUGGUUUGGGUGUUCGACUAUGACUCUGGAGGGCAGGGUUCGAUUCCCAGCUCAGCCA